UCAAGAUGAUUAGAGAUUAUGAUGAUGUAUGUGGCGAAGAUAAUGAUUGAAUUGUAGGAGCUUGAUGCUGAGAAGAGAUUAUUGAGGUUGACGAUGUGGUGAAGAAUGAUUGAAGGUGCAGGUGAUUCCCCAAAACCGGUGACGCGCGUGAUGAUGAAGAUAUGUGAUGAUGAUCGUUUCUGAGUGAAGAUUUGGUGAAAAGUUGAAUCCAGAAGAUGAAUAAAGAUUGAAGGUGGAGUACUGAUUUUUUUGGUGAUUAUCAAAGGAUUGAAGUUGAUGAAUCCAGAUGAAGAGGAUGAAGGUUGUGAUGGAAGUGAGAAUCGGUGGAGAAGUUUGUUACCUUUUUUUAUUUCGGUUAUCUCCCUCCUUUUUCUGCUAAUUUAUUCUGGUAAAUUUCUGUUCUGAUUUCUUGCGAUUGAAUUGGAAAGGUUGAUUGAAAAUUGUUGAUUGUGUUGAAUGAGAGAGUGAAGGUUGGUUGGGGAUUGAAGAUGAUAAGAGAGAUUCCCCUGAGUUUUUUACGUGAAGCCUCUUUUUGUUACAGGUUUUCUUUGUCAAUUUCUGUUAGCGUUUUUUCUUCUUUUUCUAUUAUCAAAACUCUCCCCCCAAUUUCUGAUUCGGUCCCCUUUUUAUGCAGAGCCGGUUCAAUUUUUUUCUCUGUAAGUUACUCUGUGGUUGAAUUUAUGACGGGGUCACGCUUAAUACCAUUUCCGUUCGAUUUUGUGCAGGGGCGGUUUGAUUUUGAGACUUUUGGUUUAAGCGCCGGUUUUGGAAUGUGUGGAUGGUGCAAGGUCGGUUUAGUUGAAUGGCUGCAGGAUUUUUGUUGGUUUAAUUGGAGCAGAGUUAGUAUAAUAGAAACAAAACAUAUUUUUUGAUUUUGUAUGGACAAUGAUGAAUUUGAAUAUGUACGAUUAGACUUGGAAAUUUUGUGAUUUAUUGGGCUUUGUUGAAUUGGAAUGUAAUAACAUGAUUUUUUGUAAUGAGUUUUGAAUGAAACUUAAAAUGUAUGGUUUUGAUGAAUAUUAGACAUGAAGUGAAAUAUGGUGAACUUUUCUUUAUACUUAUAACUUACAUUCCAAACAAAACAACAUGAACCUCACUUUGCUUCUCAAUUCAAAUCCAAAUUAACUUGCAGGACCUAGAGGUACUUUGAUCAGAAUAUGAGUAAACCAUCAUCAUCUCUUACAUCAGGACUUGAUCUUUGUAACUCGGUCCAUAAAUCUUUUGUCUUGACAAAGUCUUUCUUCACUCGAUACUUUAACACAAUCACAGUUCUAUGAGGAUCCAUUGAGAAUGAGUAAGACUUGAGGAUUAGAAUGAUACCGGAGCAUAGAGGGGACAUGACCGUGAAAUCCAAUUAACCACUGUUGAUGAACAUUAACAAAC